UUCUAAAAUAAGUUUAUGUUAAUUUCAGCAUAUAAACUAGAUCCAUAGAUAUUUUCAUAUGAUGAAUGUAUCUUUAGAUUAAAAAUAUUUUAAUCUGAUAUUUUUGCUACAUUUUGAAUUUAGAGAAGUUUUGAAAUCCACAUGCACUAGCACUUAUAGAAAAUCCAACAGUGAUAUCAGAGCCACAAGUUCAUAUGUAUGAAAAUAGCAUAAAAAUUUUGAAAACUAUUUUUAAAAUUUUGAUUUUAGAUCAUACAUGAGAUGUAUGCAUUUAUACUUAAAUCUGAAAAGUAUUUUAGUUCAGAUUUUUAAUUAUAUAUACGAUAUAUGAAAACAAGCGUAGGUUAG
rnacentral:lncRNA from 1 species